AAGUCUGGGGAGACGCGGGAGCUGGGGGUCCGUGGGGCUGAGCGGACGCCAUGCGCCGCCGGCACUGCACAGAGGACCCGACCCGUGCCCGGGGCCAUGGGUGUCUAUGCGCAGCAGCUGAACCAGCUGGGCGCGCAGAAGUUCUCAGCCCUGAAGGAAGUGCUCUUCCACUGCCUCACUGAGCCAGAAGAGAUGGAAAGGUUUCUGGCUCAGCUCUCUGAAUUUGCCACCACCAAGCAAAUCAGCCCCGGCCCCGUCAGAAGCAUCGUGAAGAGCCUCCUCCUGAUUUCAAAUGGUGCCUUGAAGAAGAGUCUCACAGCUGAGCAGGUCCAGGCUGAUUUCAUAACUCUGGGUCUCAGUGAAGAGAAAGCCACCUACUUUUCUGAAAAGUGGAAACAGAAUGCUCCCACCCUUGCUCGAUGGACCACAGGUCAGACUCUCAUGAUUAACCAGCUUGUAGAUAUGGAGUGGACAUUUGGAGUGACGUCUGGGAGUAGAGAACUGGAAAAAGUGGGAAGUAUGUUUUUACAAUUAAAGUUGGUGGUUAAGAAAGGAAAUCAAACGGAAAUU